CCCUACGGGGUGCAGCAGGCGCAAACUGGAGCCGGAUCACAACGAUUGUCAAUUCGUCAAGCGGCGUAUCCGCCAUUGUUGAGCGCACGCGAGACAUCGGUGUGCUAACCGGCACAAUCUCUUCGGGAGACGAGGAUGAAGCACUGCUGACGAUGAGCUACCUGCCGCUUGAUGCCGACCUUGUUACAGGCGAUACAGUGAUUACGUCCGGCUUGUCCGGCGUCUUUCCCAAAGGCAUUCCCAUCGGAGAGGUCAUCGAAGUCAGUGAAAACGAAGACGGAAUGAAGAAUGAAGCGAUCGUCAAGCCGUGGGUGGAUUUUUAUCAUCUCGAAGAAGUGAUGGUGAUAACGAGUGAAACUUUGGACAUUGAAGAGGCUCUGGAAUGAGAUAUAUCAUUUUAUCUGUUGUUACAAUCAUCGAUCUUAUUUUUACGGGGGC
rnacentral:rRNA from 1 species